CAGAACAAGGUUUUUGGCUUUUAGGUAGAAAUACAUUCAAGUGGUAUAGAAAAAGCCACAAUAAACUAGUGUGUGCAGUGGCUCUUACGAAACUUGCUGGAGCCAUGAGAGGACCACAUUUAGGUUAGUGAGAGGGAAAGUGGAGAAAAUGUAAAAAGAAAAAUACAAACUGGUGAAAGCAACGUUAAUAGAGGCAGUGCCAUCAGCAUUAACUGAUCCCAGUGCUGGACCAGCAUGACAGGUCCAGCACACAUCAUCAGCCGAUGCCCAUUGCAGGGGCUUGAUAUCGGAACACGUAAUGAGGGUCAUAAACCCCAAGGUCAGAUAACCCAAAGGUGCAGAGUAUCAUUUCAUCAUUUAGAUAAGGACAACGACUACUCAGCCUUCAGGCAUAAACGCAAGGAACACCUCUGUACCGUCCAUACCAGACAUUCAAUCCACAAGAAUAAGCCCCAACAAAGAACUAAGGCUGAGAGGUAGGUGGAUUCAAUCUCCAGUCAGAAAUAAUAUGGUGCAUCUCACAGCCACUUCAAGAAAGGUAGUGGGAUUGUGGGGUAUUGCUCCCACCACCACCUACUGUUUAAUCUAGUAAAGGCAUGACUGCACUCUAUAGGCGGGAGGGAUUGAUUGCUCAUGUCGUGAAGAAAUUUUGGCCCCAACCCCUUGCAUUACCUGCAGUCACUGCAAAAAUUAGCCGAAGAGGCGGUGAAAGUGCGCUAGGAAAUUGCAAUGGUGGAGACAGGGCCUGUCAGGUUCCUCAAGAGCUGCUGCGUAAGGCAUAGGCACUGUUUUAGGCACAGCUGAGUCGACUAGUUAUGCACUUAAAUGUCACAUAUCAGGGUGCCUUCCAGGUACAGCUAGGUGGGAAAAAAGUUGGUAUUACAUACAGGGGAUAUUAGCGGGGUCCAGGAGAGCUACGGGUGGAGAGAUCGCAGUCUCUCACUCACACUAGUGUCACCACUUAGGCGCAGAUCUGACCAGAAAGAUCUCUGCCAGAAGCUUCCAUAUCCUGGAACUGUGUGUCAGUUGUUUUGCUAAGGAAUAAAAUCUGUUACAAUGCCCGAAAUUAGUGGCAAGGAAUCUUCAAAAAAACAAAAAAGGUAGAUUUUCGUCAGUGCUCAGGCAAUGUGCACCUGCAUGGCAGUCAGACACUGCCUCCCCUUACUUUGACUUUUUAACACUUUUUUGAUAUGAUUUAAGAAAGAUAAAUAGAAAAGAAUCUGCAAUAGAUAAUGGGUUUUAAAGUUCUAUGCAAA